rnacentral:rRNA from 1 species
GACGAACGCUGGCGGCGUGCUUAACACAUGCAAGUCGAACGGACAGGCCUCUUUCGGGGGGUACUCGUGUUACCAACGGGUGAGUAACACAUGCGUAACCUGCCCUCGACUUUGGGAUAACUUCAGUAAACUGGGCCUAACACCUGCUAGAUGAUCCUUCUGCAUGGUUGGGUUAGGAAUGUUUCGGCGUCUGGGUGUGGCCUCUCGGCUUAUCCGCGCGGUAUUGGGUUGUUGGCAAGGUAACGGCUUACCAAGGAACCGAUGCAUAGCCGACCUGAGAGGGUGAUCGGCCACACUGGAACUGAGACACGGUCCAGACUCCUACGGGAGGCAGCAGUAGGGAAUCUUGCGCAAUGGGCGAAAGCCUGACGGAGCAACGCCGCGUGAGUGAUGAAGGUCUUCGGAUCAUAAAACUCUGUUAUUAGGGAAGAACAUAUGUGUAAGUAACUGUGCACAUCUUGACGGUACCUAAUCAGAAAGCCACGGCUAACUACGUG